UUUGCAAUUACCAUAAUUAUUGGAAUUAAGCGACUUAAUACCAGAUAAGUUCUAUUUCAUUCGGUCAUUUGCUGGACGUAAUGACUUAAAAGGAGAACAAAUUUAAAUUGGUUCCUUUCUGUGCCCAUUAGGUUACUGUAGAUAAGUCAUCGUAAAGAAGAAAGGAAACAAUUUAAGCGUUUUAGAGAAAGUUCUUCCUCAGCAGAAAUAGAUACAUAAAGUCCCAAGGAUCGGAAAGGGCCUCAAUCCACCAAAAACUGAGGCAUGCUUCCCCACAGUUAAAUAAAAAAGCCAGGAAUCACAAGAGUUGCUCCAUGGUGGAUUGCUUGGAAUUUAUGAUAUGUGGAAAGAGUGCUGAGACUCAGCGAAUGGCAGAGCAGAAAUAGAUAGCUAAAGUACCCAUGGAAUUUGAGGGACCUCAAACUUGAAAGGCUUAGUCAUGUUCUGGUUACUUUCAUGGAGCAUACCAGGUCCAUGACAACUUAAAUGUUGUUGCUGAGAUGGAAUCUACUCUUUUCACUUUUUCUUAGGACUCUUGAUCCACAAAAAUAAAAAGUGCUACAUUUUCAUUUAAACGAUAUGCUUUAAAAUGUUGCUUAGGAUUAUCCUCCGGGUGCAAAACUUUGACCGUCAACUGAUACAAUUCAAA